rnacentral:snoRNA from 1 species
AAUCCAUGAUGAGGGCAUUGAGCUUGGUAGCCUUUGAAUCUCUCCCAGGCUUCACUGAAUCCUUCCAAGCCUUUCUGUUGAAAGCUGGAGAUCCCAUUUCUCAGCUU